rnacentral:tRNA from 2 species
UCCCUAGUGGUCCAGUGGUUAGGACUCUUGAGUUUUUACUACCAAGGCCCCAGGUUCAAUCCCUGGUUAGGGAA